UGUGGAACUGGAGUCAGACAGAGGCAAGUAGAAUUCCGGGUGUAGUGGUGAAAUGCGUAGAUAUCCGGAGGAAUACCAGUGGCGAAAGCGACUUGCUGGGUCUGAACUGACGCUCAGACGCGAAAGCAUGGGGAGCGAACGGGAUUAGAAACCCCGGUAGUCCAUGCCGUAAACGAUGUCAACUAGGCGUUGGGGGCUAGAUGCCUUCAGUGCCGAAGCCAACGCGAUAAGUUGACCGCCUGGGGACUACGGCCGCAAGGCUAAAACUCAAAGGAAUUGACGGGGACCCGCACAAGCAGCGGAGCGUGUGGUUUAAUUCGAGGCUACACGAAGAACCUUACCUGGGCUUGACAUAGCGGUGGUAGAGAACCGAAAGGGGAUCGACCUUCGGGAGCCGUUACAGGUGCUGCAUGGCUGUCGUCAGCUCGCGUCGUGAGAUGUUCGGUUAAGUCCGGUAACGAGCGCAACCCUUGGGGCUAGUUACACGAGUCUAGCCCGACUGCCCGGUUCAACUGGGAGGAAGGUGGGGAUGACGUCAAGUCAGCAUGGCCUUUAUGUCCAGGGCUACACACACGCUACAAUGGCCAAUACAAUAGGUUGCCAACCCGCGAGGGGGAGCCAAUCCAAUAAAGUUGGUCUCAGUUCGGAUUGUAGGCUGCAACUCGCCUGCAUGAAGUUGGAGUUGCUAGUAAACGCAGGUCAGCUAUACUGCGUUGAAUACGUUCCCGGGUCUUGUACACACCGCCCGUCACGUCAUGGGAGCUGGUCACGCCUGAAGUCGGUGGGCUAACCGUAAGGAGGCAGCCGCCAAAGGCAGGGCUGGUGACUGGGACGAAGUCGUAACAAGGUAGCC
rnacentral:rRNA from 1 species